CUCUCUCACACACACACACUCACACACACCACUAUAUAAUGAUCCUGUUUUAUACACUAAAUGUAAAGCAUUUAUUCCUUGUCUUUUUCCAUGGGGUUUUUUUUUUUUGGAAAUGUGCCAACAUAUCUGGAAUUGGCUUCACUUCUUGUUUUUGAACAAAAUAUCACAGUUCAGAAAUAAAUACAGUUUCCUGCCACAAAUUUACAGUUCAGCAACAUCCGAGCAUCAUGGAUCAAUUGAUCAGCCCAAGAAAGAUCUCAUCCCUGUUUCCAAAGAGAAUAGAGCUACCAGCAGAACGAGACGACAUUAAGAGAUGAAUAUGUGCAAGGGAGAACAGAAGUGAGAGAGAGAGAAUGAAGAAAGAAGAAAGCAAGAAUGAGAAGAGAGAGCGAGAGAGAGGCGCAAGUGAUGACAAAGAUGUUUUAAUCCCCGUUAUUUCCGUUCGCAUCAGGGCCCCCGCACCUUCAAACAAAGCCUGCGCCACUUCCUCUGCGGCUCCAUUUUAAACACUCCUUCAGCCAUAAUCAUUUUCGUAUAAUUCACUUUCAUACAAUUCUUUCUCCUAAUCAUUAUCAGGGCCACUAACGUCUUAAUGACUUCAUAAAUUUAAGCUAUAAAAAGUAAUGGAGAAAGACAAAUGAGAUAAUUAGGAAUAAAUCUUGGUGGAAGCCCAUUUAUCAAAACAUCGAGAGCCACUGAAUAUUCAGAAUCAUUAGGCCCGGUGUGUAAUUAACAAAGCCCCUCAGUUAUGAAGGAAACCUGUUUCCAAAGAUAUUAAGAUCCAAAAGGCUCCAUGUUAUUAAAUUGACCGAUGAAUCUGCGCCAUAUAAUAUGAUGUGGAUUAUUAGGAUCCUUUUUAAUUAAAAAGUACGUUCCAUUUUUUUUUUUAUUAUUUAAAUUUUUCAACACUUUAAUGGGGGGUUGAAUUCAGCCCUUCAGUCUUUCAGAUAGAGGGCAGUAGGGGUCUCUCUCUCUCUCUCUCUCUCUCUCUCUCUCUCACACAAACACACACACACUCUCUCUCUCUCUCUCUUUCUCUCACACUCUCUCUCUUUCUCUCUAGACGGAGUUGAAAUAACAUACAGAAACCUAGCCCUAAGUCUCAAUAUUUUAUCCUCUCUUUCGAUGAUGUUGUACAGCACAUGGGCAAAGCGCUCACUUUAAUUUAACACACUUUUAAUUUGUAUUAUCUUUAAGAGCGUCUAAUGAAAUGGACUGAUCUGAUUGGGCCAAGUGAAAAUAAAAAUCAUCUCAAGUGCUGCUAGAACUGAUUUUUCUUUUUCUUUUCUUACAGUUACACAGUGUUUACACAUUCACGUUGUCAAUAAUAAAUUAGUUAUCUGGA